ACGAACGCUGGCGGCGUGCUUAACACAUGCCAGUCGAACGGAAAGGCCCUGCUUUUGUGGGGUGCUCGAGUGGCGAACGGGUGAGUAACACGUGAGUAACCUGCCCUUGACUUUGGGAUAACUUCAGGAAACUGGGGCUAAUACCGGAUAGGAGCUCCUGCUGCAUGGUGGGGGUUGGAAAGUUUCGGCGGUUGGGGAUGGACUCGCGGCUUAUCAGCUUGUUGGUGGGGUAGUGGCUUACCAAGGCUUUGACGGGUAGCCGGCCUGAGAGGGUGACCGGCCACAUUGGGACUGAGAUACGGCCCAGACUCCUACGGGAGGCAGCAGUGGGGAAUAUUGCACAAUGGGCGGAAGCCUGAUGCAGCAACGCCGCGUACGGGAUGACGGCCUUCGGGUUGUAAACCGCUUUCGCCUGUGACGAAGCGUGAGUGACGGUAAUGGGUAAAGAAGCACCGGCUAACUACGUG
rnacentral:rRNA from 1 species